UUAAGCGACUAAGCGUACACGGUGGAUGCCCUGGCAGUCAGAGGCGAUGAAGGACGUGCUAAUCUGCGAUAAGCGUCGGUAAGGUGAUAUGAACCGUUAUAACCGGCGAUUUCCGAAUGGGGAAACCCAGUGUGUUUCGACACACUAUCAUUAACUGAAUCCAUAGGUUAAUGAGGCGAACCGGGGGAACUGAAACAUCUAAGUACCCCGAGGAAAAGAAAUCAACCGAGAUUCCCCCAGUAGCGGCGAGCGAACGGGGAGCAGCCCAGAGCCUGAAUCAGUGUGUGUGUUAGUGGAAGCGUCUGGAAAGGCGCGCGAUACAGGGUGACAGCCCCGUACACAAAAAUGCACAUGCUGUGAGCUCGAUGAGUAGGGCGGGACACGUGGUAUCCUGUCUGAAUAUGGGGGGACCAUCCUCCAAGGCUAAAUACUCCUGACUGACCGAUAGUGAACCAGUACCGUGAGGGAAAGGCGAAAAGAACCCCGGCGAGGGGAGUGAAAAAGAACCUGAAACCGUGUACGUACAAGCAGUGGGAGCCUCUUUAUGGGGUGACUGCGUACCUUUUGUAUAAUGGGUCAGCGACUUAUAUUCUGUAGCAAGGUUAACCGAAUAGGGGAGCCGAAGGGAAACCGAGUCUUAACUGGGCGUUAAGUUGCAGGGUAUAGACCCGAAACCCGGUGAUCUAGCCAUGGGCAGGGUUGAAGGUUGGGUAACACUAACUGGAGGACCGAACCGACUAAUGUUGAAAAAUUAGCGGAUGACUUGUGGCUGGGGGUGAAAGGCCAAUCAAACCGGGAGAUAGCUGGUUCUCCCCGAAAGCUAUUUAGGUAGCGCCUCGUGAAUUCAUCUCCGGGGGUAGAGCACUGUUUCGGCAAGGGGGUCAUCCCGACUUACCAACCCGAUGCAAACUGCGAAUACCGGAGAAUGUUAUCACGGGAGACACACGGCGGGUGCUAACGUCCGUCGUGAAGAGGGAAACAACCCAGACCGCCAGCUAAGGUCCCAAAGUCAUGGUUAAGUGGGAAACGAUGUGGGAAGGCCCAGACAGCCAGGAUGUUGGCUUAGAAGCAGCCAUCAUUUAAAGAAAGCGUAAUAGCUCACUGGUCGAGUCGGCCUGCGCGGAAGAUGUAACGGGGCUAAACCAUGCACCGAAGCUGCGGCAGCGACGCUUAUGCGUUGUUGGGUAGGGGAGCGUUCUGUAAGCCUGUGAAGGUGUGCUGUGAGGCAUGCUGGAGGUAUCAGAAGUGCGAAUGCUGACAUAAGUAACGAUAAAGCGGGUGAAAAGCCCGCUCGCCGGAAGACCAAGGGUUCCUGUCCAACGUUAAUCGGGGCAGGGUAGAGUCGACCCCUAAGGCGAGGCCGAAAGGCGUAGUCGAUGGGAAACAGGUUAAUAUUCCUGUACUUGGUGUUACUGCGAAGGGGGGACGGAGAAGGCUAUGUUGGCCGGGCGACGGUUGUCCCGGUUUAAGCGUGUAGGCUGAUUUUCCAGGCAAAUCCGGAAAAUCAAGGCUGAGGCGUGAUGACGAGGCACUACGGUGCUGAAGCAACAAAUGCCCUGCUUCCAGGAAAAGCCUCUAAGCAUCAGGUAACAUCAAAUCGUACCCCAAACCGACACAGGUGGUCAGGUAGAGAAUACCAAGGCGCUUGAGAGAACUCGGGUGAAGGAACUAGGCAAAAUGGUGCCGUAACUUCGGGAGAAGGCACGCUGAUAUGUAGGUGAAGUCCCUCGCGGAUGGAGCUGAAAUCAGUCGAAGAUACCAGCUGGCUGCAACUGUUUAUUAAAAACACAGCACUGUGCAAACACGAAAGUGGACGUAUACGGUGUGACGCCUGCCCGGUGCCGGAAGGUUAAUUGAUGGGGUCAGCGCAAGCGAAGCUCUUGAUCGAAGCCCCGGUAAACGGCGGCCGUAACUAUAACGGUCCUAAGGUAGCGAAAUUCCUUGUCGGGUAAGUUCCGACCUGCACGAAUGGCGUAAUGAUGGCCAGGCUGUCUCCACCCGAGACUCAGUGAAAUUGAACUCGCUGUGAAGAUGCAGUGUACCCGCGGCAAGACGGAAAGACCCCGUGAACCUUUACUAUAGCUUGACACUGAACAUUGAGCCUUGAUGUGUAGGAUAGGUGGGAGGCUUUGAAGUGUGGACGCCAGUCUGCAUGGAGCCGGCCUUGAAAUACCACCCUUUAAUGUUUGAUGUUCUAACGUGGACCCGUAAUCCGGGUUGCGGACAGUGUCUGGUGGGUAGUUUGACUGGGGCGGUCUCCUCCUAAAGAGUAACGGAGGAGCACGAAGGUUGGCUAAUCCUGGUCGGACAUCAGGAGGUUAGUGCAAUGGCAUAAGCCAGCUUGACUGCGAGCGUGACGGCGCGAGCAGGUGCGAAAGCAGGUCAUAGUGAUCCGGUGGUUCUGAAUGGAAGGGCCAUCGCUCAACGGAUAAAAGGUACUCCGGGGAUAACAGGCUGAUACCGCCCAAGAGUUCAUAUCGACGGCGGUGUUUGGCACCUCGAUGUCGGCUCAUCACAUCCUGGGGCUGAAGUAGGUCCCAAGGGUAUGGCUGUUCGCCAUUUAAAGUGGUACGCGAGCUGGGUUUAGAACGUCGUGAGACAGUUCGGUCCCUAUCUGCCGUGGGCGCUGGAGAACUGAGGGGGGCUGCUCCUAGUACGAGAGGACCGGAGUGGACGCAUCACUGGUGUUCGGGUUGUCAUGCCAAUGGCACUGCCCGGUAGCUAAAUGCGGAAGAGAUAAGUGCUGAAAGCAUCUAAGCACGAAACUUGCCCCGAGAUGAGUUCUCCCUGACCCUUUAAGGGUCCUGAAGGAACGUUGAAGACGACGACGUUGAUAGGCCGGGUGUGUAAGCGCAGCGAUGCGUUGAGCUAACCGGUACUAAUGAACCGUGAGGCUUAACCUU
rnacentral:rRNA from 1 species